GGCUGGAUAGCUCAGCUGGUUAGAGAGUGGUGCUGAUAAUGCCAAGGUUGCAGGUUCAACCCCUGUAUGAACAGCUG